GCCAGGCGUGGUGGUGCACGCCUGUAAUCCCAGCUACUCAGGAGGUUGAGGCAGCAGAAUUGCUUGAACCUGGGAGAUGGAGGUUGCAGUGAGCCGAGAUUGUGCCACUGCACUCCAGCUGGGAUGACAGAGGGAGACUCUGUCUCAAAAAGAACUGAACGGGAGGACUGCUUGAGCCCAGGGAGGUCGAGACUGCAGUGAACCAUGACUGCACCACUGCACUCCAGCCUGAGUGACAGAGCAAGACCCUGUCUCU
rnacentral:SRP_RNA from 10 species